GUUAUUAAAAACAUGUCUUGUUGAUUAUAAUUUCAAGUCUGACCUGCUCAAUGAUACAAUUAAAUGGCCGCGGUAUAUUGACCGUGCAAAGGUAGCAUAAUCAUUAGUUUUUUUAUUGAAAGCUGGAAUGAAUGGUUUGAUGAAAAAAUUUCUGUCUCUGUAAAAGUUUUUUAGAAUUUUAUUUUUAAGUGAAAAUGCUUAAAUAUUUAUAGAAGACGAGAAGACCCUAUAGAGUUUUAUAUUUAAUUUAAAGUUUAAUUUAAAAGAAUAAAAAAUUAAUUUUAUUUAAAGUAUUUUGUUGGGGUGAUGGGAAAAUUAGGAAAACUUUUCUUUAUUUAAACAUUUAUUUGUGAAUUUAUGAUCCUUAUUUAAAGAUUAUAAGAUAAAAUUACCUUAGGGAUAACAGCGUAAUCUUUUUUAGAGUUCUUAUCGAAAAAGGGGGUUGCGACCUCGAUGUUGGAUUAAAAUUUUUAAUUGGUGAAGGAGCUAAUAUAAAAAGUCUGUUCGACUUUUAAAUUUUUACAUGAUCUGAGUUUAGACCGGUGUGAGCCAGGUCGGUUUCUAUCUA
rnacentral:rRNA from 1 species